rnacentral:rRNA from 1 species
UACGAAGGGGGCUAGCGUUGUUCGGAAUUACUGGGCGUAAAGCGCGCGCAGGCGGUUUCUCAAGUCAGUGGUGAAAGCCCGGAGCUCAACUCCGGAACUGCCUUUGAUACUGCAAAUCUCGAGUCCGGAAGAGGUGAGUGGAAUUCCUAGUGUAGAGGUGAAAUUCGUAGAUAUUAGGAAGAACACCAGUGGCGAAGGCGGCUCACUGGUCCGGUACUGACGCUGAAGUGCGAAAGCGUGGGGAGCAAACAGG